rnacentral:rRNA from 1 species
AACGAACGCUGGCGGCAGGCUUAACACAUGCAAGUCGAACGCCCCGCAAGGGGAGUGGCAGACGGGUGAGUAACGCGUGGGAACAUACCCUUUUCUACGGAAUAGCUCUGGGAAACUGGAAUUAAUACCGUAUACGCCCUACGGGGGAAAGAUUUAUCAGGGAAGGAUUGGCCCGCGUUGGAUUAGCUAGUUGGUGGGGUAAAGGCCUACCAAGGCGACGAUCCAUAGCUGGUCUGAGAGGAUGAUCAGCCACAUUGGGACUGAGACACGGCCCAAACUCCUACGGGAGGCAGCAGUGGGGAAUAUUGGACAAUGGGCGCAAGCCUGAUCCAGCCAUGCCGCGUGAGUGAUGAAGGCCUUAGGGUUGUAAAGCUCUUUCACCGAUGAAGAUAAUGACGGUAGUCGGAGAAGAAGCCCCGGCUAACUUCGUG